GGAUUAGAUACCCUGGUAGUCCACGCCGUAAACGAUGUCAACUAGCUGUUGGACUCCAUUGAGAGUUUUGUGGCGAAGCUAACGCGAUAAGUUGACCGCCUGGGGAGUACGGCCGCAAGGUUAAAACUCAAAUGAAUUGACGGGGGCCCGCACAAGCGGUGGAGCAUGUGGUUUAAUUCGAAGCAACGCGAAGAACCUUACCACCCCUUGACAUCCUGCGAACUUUCUAGAGAUAGAUUGGUGCCUUCGGGAACGCAGUGACAGGUGCUGCAUGGCUGUCGUCAGCUCGUGCUG
rnacentral:rRNA from 1 species